AUCCUUUUUGUGUUUUCUAGUGCAUCCUAUAUGAAAUUUAGUUUAUUUUAUAUGGAAGAACGACACAUUUUUAUUUGCGCAACCAAUCGCUAGAUGGCACGAUGUGUCGUUGUUUAAACUGCGAAAUCCGAUAUAUUGAAUAUUGGCAUGACUUCAGUUGUCACAGAAUCUUUGUCUUGAAGAUAGACACAAGUCGAAAAAUUCCAUCUAGCUUUGUUUAUAUUUAUAUAGAAAAACGGCUUAUUCCUAUUUGUGCCUUUAUUUAGAGGAAUUACGAGACCUAUAAGUAAUUAUUGUGUUAUAGAAGAUUGGACUAUUUUCAGUUAUGUCAAUACAAAUAAGGAAGCUGUCAAAGAUGUCUAUGUGGGUUCCCACUACUAGAAUAAUGACAAAUACUAAAAUCGAUGCCAAACCAAUAAUAGAAGGAACAAUUGAAGAAACAGAACAUGAUUCUGGAAAUUAUUCCAGCCCAAUAAACAAUGUAGAAGACGAAAUUACUGUAUUUGGUUAAGAAGGACCGGUUGCUGCCGUCGAGAUCGCAGGGCAUAAUAGAUUAUAUUAGUAUAAGUUUUAAAUUGUUCAUUGAGUACAAUCAAUAAUAAUGAUCAGUAUCAGUGAAAAAGCUAGCGGCCUUAUUAUUAUUUAGUGUGCCUUAUGAAACGUAUUUUAUUUUCAGAGUUGGUGCAAUCUAAUAAAGUUCAAGGCUCAAGGCUUAAAAUAUCAAAAUUGUUUCCCGUCAUACAAAUCAUCAUUGUCCAAUUCAUCUUCGUCCGACUCGAAUUCUUUAUCGAGCUCUUCCUCUUCGAUCUGAGAAGAGGAACUGUCUGCCUAGAUCAUGUAACUUGUCGUUUGAGAACGUCAACAACAACAAUGAUGUUUUGCGUGACGUGACGUAACACUUUGUGAUUGGUGUUCGCAGUCACGUGACUUAAUGUCUAUAUUUAUAGAAUUUAUUUUCUAAAAAUAUUACUUAUUAUUAAUUUCCAUAUUUUUGUAGAGACUGGAUUGUUUUGGAACUAAGAAAUUCGUUAUUAGAAACAUUUCAUUCACAAAUUACAAUAUUGAAUGAAUUUCAAUGAUACAAUUAACAAAAUUCAUUAUUUGAAUGAACUAAACUCAUUAACUGAUA